UUUUUUUUUUUUUUUUUUUUCUUUUUUUCCCCCUUUGUUGUUGUUUAUGCAUGUUUAGAUGUGAGAAACUCACACUAUCUUCAACUAUAAAUAAGUUCAAAUACUUCUUUAAAUAGUAUUUAGUUGUGGAGUCGGGGUUACUGAACAGAAGUAUGGUACAUCAAUUCAGAUACUGGACUCAUCAGGCCUUGAUAAAAUUAUUAAUUAUUUCAAGAACGAUGGAAAAGGAAUGGAUAUCAAACAAAUAAUUGACAAGUACUGAGAAUUGAGUGAAAAACCAUUGAUUACUAUCAGUGAUUUGUUACAAUACACUUUUGCUAAUCCUCGUGGAUAUAAGUUGAAAACAGAGGACAGUCCAAUGAGUUUCAGAACAUUUGUGAAUUUAUUGGCAAAAUGUGAUUGCAGAUGGGCUUCUAAGAGACUUGAGCAUGUGCUAGUUGUAAUUAUAAAGCUCUUGAAUGAGCAAAAAGCUAAUAAUCUUAAUAGAAAAUGUGGUAAGUCUAGGCAUGAGCUAAGGGAAGAGGCAAGAAAAUCUAUUGGGGACACAGGUUUAAUUGAUUUUGUGCUCAAAUCUAUCAAAUCUUUUGUAGUGAAUAAUCCAAUUAUUCGACGAACAAUAAAUCCACUAACUCGAUUAGUGGAAUUUACAAUUUAUGUUGUUGCUAAAGAAGCGGAAGGAUAGUGGCCAAUUUCAAGAAAGGAUUCUGGUUGUAGAUAUUCAAGAAAUAAACUGGAACAAGCAGCAAAAGUUGUGGUGAAUAUUUUGAUAUUUAGGAGAUGAUUCAAUCCUCAACAAAUGUCUUGCUUGCUUUUAGUUGUUUUGUUUUGUAUAUAAAAUGUUUAUUGUUUUGUUUUGCAAAUCUGAUAAAUCAUAUGGCAAGUUACUUAUCUUUAUUACAUGUUUUAAAUUUUAAUUGUUUGAUUUGGAGCAAGCAAGGUGGAAGAAGAUUAAAGAGGGUGGCAUUUGGACAAUUGGCCCAUCAAUUUAUCUAAGAAGGAAUAUUAAUACAAUGUGGAGCCUGCUUUGUUGAGAAGCAAGAGGUUAAGCAAUACCGUUUUUAAGCAAUACAGCAGUGAUGAGCUGAAUAUCAGUUGGAGCAUAGAAGUUAUGAAAAUGGUGUUAGUGGUGUUGAAGAUUCUGUGGAAGAAGAGUGCAUUCCGAUGAAACAUGAUGGGCACAUCAGUUGGGAGCUUGAGUAUUGGCAAUAAAUCACACCGUGUUAUUUGGAGAAUACAAGUGUAAGGGCCAUGGAGCAGAUAAAGGACGAACAGUGUCGUGGUCGAAAGCUCUGAAUUUUGGUUUGUAAUUAUUAUAUGUAUGCUAGUAAUCAAAUAAAUGAACAAUUUGCACGCCGUAAAAAAAUUAUGUUCUUUUAUUUACGACGUGCAUAUGCACGCCAUAAAAAAUGACUUUUAUUUACAGCUUUUUACGGCAUGCAAUGCACGCCGUAAAAAGUACAUUUUGUUGUAGUAAAUGACAUCAUCAAUUCAAAUCUUCAAUUGAAUCUUCAGGUCUUCAAAUUAA